GCCGGGCGCGGUGGUGCAUGCCUGUAGUCCCAGCUACUCAGGAGGCUGAGGUGGGAGUAUCGCUUGAGCCCAGGAGUUCUGGGCUAUAGUGCGCUGUGCUGCUCGGGUGUCCGCACCAAGUUCUGCAUCAAAAUGGUGACCACCCGGGAGUGGGGGACCACCAGGUUGCCCAAGGAGGGGUGGACCGGCCCAGGUCGGAAACGGAGCAGGUCAAAACUCCCAUGCUGAUCAGCAGUGGGACUGCACCUGUGAACAGCCACUGCACUCCAGCCUGGGCAACAUAGCAAGACCCCACCUCUU
rnacentral:SRP_RNA from 1 species